AGUGAACGCUGGCGGCGUGCUAAUACAUGCAAGUCGAACGGAAUUUAAAAGAGCUUGCUCUUUUGAACUUAGCGGCGCACGGGUGAGUAAUAUAUAGCUAAUCUGCCCCUUGCUGGAGGACAACAGUUAGAAAUGACUGCUAAUACUCCAUACUCCUUUUUACCAUAAGAUAAAUCGGGAAAGAAUUUCGGCAAGGGAUGAGACUAUAUCGUAUCAGCUAGUCGGUGGGGUAACGGCCUACCGAGGCUAUGACGCGUAACUGGUCUGAGAGGAUGAUCAGUCACAUUGGAACUGAGACACGGUCCAAACUCCUACGGGAGGCAGCAGUAGGGAAUAUUGCGCAAUGGGGGAAACCCUGACGCAGCAACGCCGCGUGGAGGAUGACACUUUUCGGAGCGUAAACUCCUUUUGUUAGGGAAGAAUAAUGACGGUACCUAACGAAU
rnacentral:rRNA from 1 species